rnacentral:pre_miRNA from 1 species
AUGUAGGGCAAUCUGUCUUUAAGCAGAGAUAAAUUACUCUUAAAAAAAAAAAAGAAUCCUAGAGAGUGUUCCCUUCAAGUCAAGCAUCUUGA